rnacentral:tRNA from 1 species
GGCUCUUUAGCUCAGUUGGUAGAGCAGAGGCCUGAAGAGUCUUGUGUCCCCAGUUCAAGUCUGGGAGGAGCCACCA